rnacentral:rRNA from 1 species
GCGUAAAGGGUUUGUAGGCAGCUUUAAAUUAAUUAAAGAUAGAAUCAUAUAGAGGUCACAGUCAGAUAAUUCUUAGAGUAGGGUUUAUAUCUGUAGAUACUAAGAGGAAUACUUAUUAGCGAAGGCACUUUUCCAAAUUAUGAUUGACGCUGAGAAACGAAGGGGAGGAUAGAUAAUAGGAUUAGAUACCCUGGUAUUCCUCUCUGUCAACGAUGAAUGGUAGUUGCUAGUAUACUAUAUUAGUGGCGAUGCUAACGCGUUAACCAUUCCGCCUUGUGAGUACGAUUGCAAAAUUGAAAACAAAAAAAUUAGUCGGUUUCGGAGCAAACGAAGUGAAGCAUGUUAUUUAAUUCGAUAAUCCGC